UACGGUACGUUUCUUAACCUAUACUGUAUAUGAUUUUUUAUUAAAGCUUCACUGAACCGCGAAAUUGAUGAUGUUAUUGAUCUUUGAUACUGAUAGCAUGACUCUUCAGCCGACAAUAGAAUUUUGAACUUAAAACUUUUUGUUUUGUUUACAACACUGCAUUAUAUAAGAAGUCUUGGAUGAUGAGAUUUGUGUAACCCGUUGGUAUUUACAGUGCAGACAUGGAUACAGUUUUUAUGUAUCAUAUUGUAUUAUUAUUAAGAAGGUGUACUUUAUCCUUUUGAGGUUUGGUGUAUGAAUUCACUGAUGAUAAUCCCAUAUCUGCUUUAACCAAAACUAUUGAAGGAUUUAUUACAAUUAUAUAGGAAAGAGUUUGUUUCCGACAAGCUUUUUGAAAACAUAAAUGUGAAGUGAAUGUACAUGUGCAGCUUUGCAAUAAGUGAUAAAAAAAGACACAAAGAAUUUUAAUAAUAAAAAAAAAUCUAAAGAUGUUGAGAUUGUGCACACGCUGCUUACCACUGGACAUGAGAAAUUGUACAUAGUCACAAAAGGAUUGUAAAUUACUAAUAAGAGAGGAGAUAUUUAGUUGUGGUUAUGUAGACUGAUAAUUGAGUGAUAUAGAAUUAAAUGAUGACUUAUAGUUUUAUGGUCUAUUAAUUUUGAAUUGUGGUUAAAUGAUACCUGUAAUGAUAAUAAAAUAUUAAUUUAAUACAUCAUUAUA